rnacentral:lncRNA from 1 species
AUGUGAGACAGUGAAGUUUUGUAAAAAGUAGGGAUCCUAUUUUUUAUUGUAUUAUUAUAGUUACAAUUUCAAUACAGUUGUUUAGGUGAUUUACGGUAUCAUGUGUAUCCUGCGAGAUGCAUCGGGUUUUAUCAUUAUAUUGCUGAUAAGCCGACAUACCACAUGUAAAAUAAAUAUUAUGAAAAUGUAUUUAUAAUUCUUUAUUCUUUCCCAGGUAAGAAGCUAAUUUAAUUAUAUUUUUCAUUUUAAAGAAAGUUAUAAUUUCUUUUAAACUUUUUAGAUAUUUUUUAAUCUUUAGUUAAUUUUAAUUGAUUAAUUGAAUGAUUGAUGAAUUUAACUGGUAACAUCUUUGUUUGUUUUUUAUUAUUUUUAAUAAUUAUUUUCACUUUUAUUAUCAACAUAUAUCUUUUAAAGCAUUAAGUAUUUACUUUGCACCAGUUUAAACUAUCGGUAGAAAGUAUUAGUUUUGUUGAUAAGUGUAUUAUUGUUUAUCUCAUGAAAUGUAUAGGAAUGUACGAAUAACACGUGUCUUCAGAGAACAAAGGAAUUUACGUGAUAUCUUGAUAUAGAGCUGUGCUCUAGUAGAAAAUACAUUGAAUGCUUUAUUACAUUUAUAUUAGUGUUAUUAGAUUAGUUUUUAUAUAUUUUUAUGUAGCCCUAUACCCGUUAAUUAGUUAUUAUUUUGUAUUAGUUUCUUAUCUCAUUUUUCCCUUAUUGACCCUCAAGUUCACUACGAAUUGGUAUCAGUGAAGAGUUUCCAAGAUAAAAAUAGAUUACCGUAAAUGUGCUAAUGUACGUUCUGAGAAAUAGAAUCAUAUUUGAUUUACGGAAAUACAUAUUUUAUUUUAAGAAAAGAAAGAUUAGUUAAUUAAAUAAAUGUUAUGACAAGUUAUUUAAAUUAAUUAAUGAAGUUCGUUAAAUACAUAAAAAGUAUUUGAAGACCUAUUAAGUGUUUACAUAAGUUCAAUUGACUCCUAGACAUAACAGAGAACAGAGUUUAAGAAAUGUAUUAAGUAAAUUAUUCAUCAAGUACAAUCAUAUGGUUAUUAAUUAUGUCGGAUAUUAUGUUAUUUGUAAAACCUAUGAACAGUAUGUUCAUUCUUAAUCAUUAUAUUGCUGAUAAGCCGACAUACCACAUGUAAAAUAAAUAUUAUGAAAAUGUAUUUAUAAAUCUUUAUUCUUUCCCAGGUACCAACCAGACCCGGGUAACA